rnacentral:misc_RNA from 1 species
UCCGAGUUGACCCCGGCAGUCUCCUAUGAGUCCCCGCCAUUACGCGCUGGCAACAUAGAACGAGGGUUGCGCUCGUUGCGGGACUUAACCCAACAUCUCACGACACGAGCUGACGACAACCAUGCACCACCUGUGCAGAGCCCUUGCGGACCCGACAUCUCUGCCGGAUUUCUCUGCAUGUCAAGCCUUGGUAAGGUUCUUCGCGUUGCGUCGAAUUAAGCCACAUGCUCCGCCGCUUGUGCGGGCCCCCGUCAAUUCCUUUGAGUUUUAGCCUUGCGGCCGUACUCCCCAGGCGGGGCGCUUAAUGCGUUAGCUGCGGCACGGAAGGUUGGAAGACCCCCCACACCUAGCGCCCAACGUUUACGGCGUGGACUAC